rnacentral:rRNA from 1 species
CACACGACUCUCGGCAACGGAUAUCUCGGCUCUCGCAUCGAUGAAGAACGUAGCAAAAUGCGAUACCUGGUGUGAAUUGCAGAAUCCCGUGAACCAUCGAGUUUUUGAACGCAAGUUGCGCCCGAGGCCUUCUGGCUGAGGGCACGUCUGCCUGGGCGUCACGU